rnacentral:lncRNA from 1 species
GCUUUGUCUUCAACAUAAUAUAUUUAUUAAAUAAAUGUAACUGUGUAAUCAUGGAAUCUAAGCACAGGAGGAUUUCCAAGCUUCACCUCACAUCAAAUGCAGGCAUCAUAUAGCCUCUAGGCCUUGGGUUAUGUCAGGGAUUUUUGCUUUUCACUUAGACUUGCAGUUGUCUUUCUUAGAAGAUAUGAAACAUGUUGGUCCCACCUCUAGCCAAGUAAAAACAGGUAUGUGAAUAAAAUGACUAUCAAAACAGGUUCUUUUCAAAGCGUUGGAAAUAUUGGAUUUCUCUUGGCUGUGAAUGUAGUGGGAGUCUUGAUGUCUUCGUCAUAUUGGGGAGCUUUUUAUUCAGCAUACUAAAAACAUGUAUCUAGCAAUUUCUAGAGGGUGCCAGGACUUUUCUUGGGGUUAGAGUAAUGAAGAUGAUUAUACAAUGGCCUCUAUCCAGUUGACGCAACUGAUUAGAUUAGCUAAAUGUUACAGGGCACGGUGGUAUAAAAAAAUUCCUGGAAGACGGAAGAUUUUAUUCACCACAUAAGCAGUCAUGGGGUAGGUGUUCCACAACUAGUUGGAUGUGUCAAGGCACAGCAUCCUACAAAAACAUAGUCUGUUUUGAAAAAUUCAGUCUGCCUGAAGGUGGGUGGCUGGAGAAAAACUUGAGAAGUUAGGAGGGACCACAUCACCCAAUACCUGGUUAACCAACUAGGAGAGAUUUAAUGACUACCUGUAUAGCCAGCAGGAACAUUUAAUGUGGGGUACAAGAUCACCUUUGUUCUUUAGGAAGUUUGUAGUCAUUCAUAAAUCCAAAGGAAAAAGCAAAAAUUCAGGCCAUGUUAUGCCUCACAUGUAAAAUAGCCUGCUAUCCAGCCCUGGGCAUUGCAUUAUUCCAGUAAGGGCUAAUGUUGUAUAUUCUUCUCAACUAUUUCAAUAAAAAAUGUGGAGGAUACAUUCCAGUUGAAAGAUCACUUAUUUGAAUUUUACCUUUUAGUGCCAAGAUUGCAGGGAAAAAUAUCAUUUGUGAGCCUCUCGGAAGGUUGGCUGAUCUGCAGAUAGGAUAAAAUAUCCUGCAUGUACUCUCCAUUUGAUUUGUAAUUUACAUAGCAUCUCUUUGUUCAUCAAGGAACACCCUGCAUGACUUCCUGACACUGACCUGGAUUUUACUUAUGGCUGCCCUAAAUUGUGUUAUCAUGGUGUACCGGUUGUUCAGUAUUCAGCCUUGCUCCUCUGUAACUUAAUAUUAUGAUUUAUUUCUGACUUGGCUUUUCUUUAUCGAAUGCUGACUUUUUCUAAGAGGUUCAUGUGGAAAUGUGCUACAUGAAAAAAAAAAAAGGAGCACAGUUUGGCCUCAGGGCAAAAACAUGAAUACUGACCCAGGGACAUGAAUACAGGGCAGAAGAGAGAGUGGCACAGGCAACAAAAUUAACUCAUUUCUUUGCCUUUUGUGUGUUCCUAAGUGUGUGGAGUGACUCAAAUUUUAGCACAGAAAGUAAAGUUAGAAAGCAACUGCUAUUUGCCAACAACCCAUUCUUUAAUUCUCAAAGAUCAAAAAUUUGCUUGAAAACUGACAUUUUCAUUUUCUCCUGGCCCAGUGAACAAAGUUUUAAGGUUAUGUGGUCGCUCUGAUACCACCUAAGAAGCAAAUAUUUCUUGCAGUCUACUUCUAGAUGUGAAUGAACUGAAAGUAAAUGACUCAGAGAUGGAGUAAAUGUCCCUUGAAAUACACCCAAACUUAAUAAUUAGGAGAAGAGUGCUUGAAUAAACACAUUUAGAGUGUUAUUGAGCAUAUACAAGCUUAGAUGGUCCAUAUUUCUAAAAGACAGUGAGUCUAUAGCACAUUCUUCGGAGAUGAGAAAAUUAUGCCAUAAAUAAAAUUUGUAGUGGAGGCAUUUGUUUUAUCAUUCAGUUAAGUAGCAGGAAUUCUUUCAUACCUAGAGGGACUUAGGUAAAACUAAUAAACAGACAUACUUAACAACAAGAACAACAACAACAAAAAUAAAGCAUUACCAUUCAAGAGUGUGAAAUCACUUCUCUGAGAGCCUUUUUGGAUUGAAUAUUCUUUUUGGGCUGGUAAUGUCAAACUAAAACUUUACCUAAACACAGAUAACUAGGUGGCUCUUAGCAUACCUUUCAGGGCUUAUGGUCUCCAAUUAUUCCACUCACAUCCCCCUAUACAUUUCCAAAUCACCUCUUUCAGUGUCUCCAGUGUUUAAACAUGAACUGGAUAGAGUGUUGCAUGGUAGUAUUAAAUAAAAUUUAGCUUAAAGCUGUUUCCUUACAUAUUAUAAGUUCUGUCUAAAGGUUUCUACGUGCAUAGUAUACAUGUCAUUGAAAGUGUAAAUGGACUAUAACCUACUCUGAUACCAAUCACUGAGUUGUGGCCAAUCAAAGGUGGCCAACUGCUCAAACCACAUUCAAAUAUGGCAAAUGCUGAGCUGUAACCAAUCCCGUUGUUUCUGUACCUCAUUUCUGUUUUCUCUCUGUCACUUUUCUUUUUCUUUCCAUAAAUCUUCUUCAACCACCUGGCAGUGCCAGAGUUUCUCUGAACCCAUUCUGGCUUGGGGGAUGCCUGAUUCAUGAAUCAUUCUUUGCUCAAUUAAACUCUGUUUAAUUUAAUUUGUCUAAGGUUUUUCUUUUAACAGUAGAGAUAGGAGUACAACACACUUUGAGGUGUACAGGAGUGAGUUCAAAUCCUAGCUCUGUUAUUGGCUUGAUUUCUCAUCUUGAGCAAGGUACUUAGUUUCUCUGAGCCUUAGUUUCUGCACUUGUAAAUGUGGAGAAGUGAAACACCAGACUUGAGAGGAUGCUCUGCUAUCUGAACGAGGUAAUGGGAAAAUGCUCGGCCAGUGUUGUAACUCAAUCUUCUUAUCCAACAGUGAGCCCCUUGGGCACCCAGACCCAGACUCGCCCUUCUAGUCUCACGUCUUGCACUCUCUGGCACAUCUCAUGUAGGCUCUGUUGCCUGUCAUGUUUUCCAGUCCACAAAUACCCUUGGCAUGCUCUCAUGUCUGUACUUGGUCCACAUUAUUCUAACGUGAAUACAUGAAACUUCUAAUGACAGUGCAAUCUUUCUAGACAAUCUCUGAAGGAGAAAUGUUACUAGUCUGUGGUGAAUAUAAAAAUAGGCUCAUAGGGAAAAAAAACUGUGAUUGAAGGUAUAAUUCUGCAUUUUCUUGGGAUAUACAUAAAUAGCAAGUAGUCAUUUUUUACUUAAAAAAAAAAAAAGAAAUCUACAGAAAGAAAAUUUAGCUGUCUUUCUGUUGCUAACCUUCCAGGAGGCCUUGGUUCUCCUUUAAGGUUGAAGUUCGUUUGUGACAGGUUAGUGCUGCUCAUUUUUGUGGCUUUCCAGAAGCCACCGUGGAAAAGGCAGAAGUCUUCCCCUCCCAUUAUGCUGAGUCAGACAUGGCAUCUACAUGACUCAUCACCAAGUGGUUCUCCAGAAUUCACUUUGCUUGCUUUUCCCCAAUCCAGAUAAUCCUCGGGACUGGUAGCCACCCAACUCACUCCUGCACACUGUUCUUCCUCUUUGGAGGCACCCACCAUGCCUGUCUGAUGCUGCCCCUCAAGGUCACAUCGGAGUCUCCUGUACCUACCUUGUCUGUGGCUACCCAACUCUAUACAAUUUCUGAAGCUUUCAUAACACCCAGAUGGUCUAUAAUGUAAUAUGUGUUUAGAUAAUCCUCAGGCCAAAACAUCUUUCCAAAAUUUAACUGUAAAUCUGUCACUUCCAUGGGUUAUGUUAGUCUUUUCCAUGUUCAAAUGGCUAUCUGAGCUCCUGGGGAGGGGAAGUCACUCCCGGAGUUCUCUUUCCAUCAUUCAUAGUGUGAAUCUCACCUUGGGCUGGGAGGAAUUUGUGAUGGGCAUACAAGUGAGAAAAAGGGUGCAAAGGGGUGAGAUGGUAUGUUAGUCAGGGUUCUCUAGAGGGACAGAAUUAAUAGGAUAGAUGUAUAUACAAAGGGGAAUGUAUUAAGGAGUAUUAACUCACGAGAUCACAAGGUAAGGUUGCAUAAUAGGCCAUCUGCAACCUGAGGAGCAAGGAAGCCAGUCCAAGUCCCAAAGCUGAAGGACCUUGAGUCCAAUGUUUGAGGGCAGGAAGCAUCCAGCAUAUGGGAGAAAGAUGUAGGCUUGGAGGCUAAGCCAGUCUAAUCUUUUUUUUUUUUUUUGAGAUGGAGUUGCCCUCUGUCACCCAGGCUGGAGUGCAGUGGCGUGAUCUCAGCUCACUGCAACCUCCGCCUCCGCCUCGCAGUACCUGAGAUUACAGGUGCAUGCCAACACGGCUAAUUCUUGUAUUUUUAGUAGAUACAGGGUUUCACCAUGUUGGCCAGUUGGUCUGGAACGAACUCCUGACCUCAAGUGAUCCGCCCACCUCAGCCUCCGAAAGUUCUGCGAUUACAGGUGUGAGCCACUGUGCCUGGCCAAGCCUAAUCUUUCCACGUUCUUCUGCUUGCUUUUAUUCUAGUUACACUGUCAGCUGGUUAGAUGGUGCCCUCCCAGAUUGAAGGUAGAUCUGCGUUUCCCAGUCCACUGACUCAAAUGUUAAUCUCCUUUGGCAACGCCUUCACAGACACACCCAGAAUCAAUACAUUGCACCCUUCAAUCCAAUCAAGUUGACAUCCAGUAGUAACCAUCACAGAUGGCUAAUACGGGAGAUAUUCAUGAAGGGUCUGGGAAGGGGAUUUGGAAGAGAUAUGGACACAAAGGAAGGAGGAAAGAAAAGGGGAAGUGAGACGGGAACCAAACCAAACACCCUGUAUUGCACAAUUGAGCCUGGAGUUGGCCUGCUCGCCACAGAGCAGUCACAGGUUUUCAGGAUGCUUUAGUGAUAGCAGCCAUCAGUACCUCUCAUUAGGAGCAAAAGCCCUGAUUGGUAAUAGUAUAUUCUACUUAUUUAGAGAAUAAAAGUUCCCUGUUAGAACCAGCCUUCUCAGAAUGGCAUUCAGCUUUUCAGAAAAGCACAGCACCAGCAUAUUUCUUAUCUGCCUUGAAGGUUAUAAUAAAUCCCUUCUUCUGUUAAUUCAUAAAUCCUUCAGCCACAUGCCAUUUUGGGGCCAUAUGCUUUCUUUCCUCCCUCUAACCCUUGGAAAGAUCUUUCAUAUCCAAUCUCUGUAGAUAAUCUGAAUGUGAAAUCAGGUAUGGUUAUCUAAUCCCUCUAAUCAGAAGGUCAGCAGUUACCUGCAGCUUUUCCAUCUGUCCUCCAGCUGAAUGCUGCCAUUUAGUAAAUCAAAAAUUGGUUACAAAUUAGCAAAGCUGACUGGCUCAAUGAAAUCUAGCCUGGAGUCUUUGCUGGAAGGGGGGAAGUUUAAAUAUGGUUUGAAGGGAGAUUUGAGGUGAACUCUAUUUAUCAAAGCCGUGGAGUAGCAGCAUAAAAGAUGAGAGAUGUUCUCCUGGGUAAAAAUGUCAAAUCACAUGGGAAAUGGGAAUAUUUCACAUGGUGAUUACUGAAUUUUACAAUUGUUCGCAAAUUGAUUCAGCCCAGAAAUCAACUGGGAAGUCUCCCACAGGUGUCUAGCACUCUGCAGGUAUUAGCGUGAUACAGGGUAAGUCUCAAAGUACAAAAAAAAACACACAUGUGAAACAAUUUGCAAACAAUGAAGUGCUAACCUGUGUGGUGUGAAUUACAGAUGCAUUAGGACACCAGAAAAGGAAGAAAAGACAGUGGCAGCUGAAGACAUUUCAGGAAUGCUUCACUGAGAACCUAAGUCUUGUUCUGGGCCAUAAAGAAAAGGGGAGGGUGUGGUUUCUAUACCAGAGAUAAGAAAGGAGAAAAUUGGACGUGGAGGAAAGAUAUGAGUACCAAUCCGAGCGAACAAGGAAGAGUGAGUAAAUCUGUCCAGCUGGAGUUGGAGGUACAUUCUGGAAAAUGGUGAGAGAGGCUGUGUAGGGUAGGGGGACACGGAAAGAUGGGCCAAGACAUUUGGAGCUGAUAUUUGAUAUGGUUUGGCUGUGCCCCCACCCAAAUCUCAUCUUAAAUUGUAAUCCCCAUAAUCCCCACGUGUCGAGGGAGGGACCCGGUGGGAAGUGAUUGGAUCAUGGGGGCAGUUUUCCCCAUGGAAUUCUCGUGAUAGUGAGUGAGUUCUCACGAGAUCUCAUGGUUUUACAAGCGUCUGGUAUUUCACCUGAUUGCACUUCUCUCUUCUGCCUCCUAGUGAAAAAGGUGCCUGCUUCUCCUUCUGCCAUGAUUAUAAGUUUCCUGAGGCUUCCCCAGCCAUGCGUAACUCUCCUUCCCAUUUAUGAGAGAGCCACAUGACAUCAGCCCAUAGACUGUGGAGAGUAUUCCAGAUCUAUCACAUUCUGCGAUUCUGCGAUUCCCAGAAGGCUGGUCAUGAAAAAAUUCCCUCUUCAGUUUACAUAUAUGGCAGUGCUCCAGUGCCAUGACAGUUUUAAUCUUCUGGUUCCAUCUGCAUAGAUUUCAGUCUCUAAUUGAGGAAAAUCAUCUGUUUUUCUCAGGAGCCCCUUGAUUCAAGUUUACACAAAAUGUGCCUUUGGAGACUAUCCUGUUAAUUUAAACAGUUCAGAUCCCACUUGUAUGUGAGACAGAUGCUUCUCUGGCCAUCAGCCAGGUACCACUAAAGGAGGUACAGGCACUUCUAGAUAUCUGUUGAGGCCUGGAAGGGGCAAAACAAUUCAGGAAGCAGUUGAAGAUAAAGGGGUUUACCAUGGAAGAGAAGAUCCAGGUGCCUUCAUGGAAAUGCUUGUGGUUGAAAAGAGAUGAAGAUGAGGGUCCCUGGAAAGAGGAAGAACCAGCCAGGAAAAUUAUACCAUUAGCAAGACUGGCAUCAGCAAGUAGUUCGCAGUGUUGGUUGUUCUUGGUUUCGCAGGAUUUUAUAGGAGAGUUUCUGUCAGGCCUUUGAGCCCAAGCUAAGCCAUCAUACCCCUGUGACCUACACGUUAUACAUCCAGAUGGCCUGAAGCAAUUGAAGAUCCACAAAAUAAGUGAAAAUAGCCUUAACGGAUGACAUUCCACCAUUGUGAUUUGUUUCCACCCCACCCUAACUGAUACAUAUAUUCUCCCCCACCCUUAAGAAGGUACUUCGGAAUGUUCUCUCCCGCUCUUAAGAAUGUGCUUUGUAUGCCUAUCCCAAACCUGUAAGAACUAAUGAUAAUCCCACCACCCUUUGCUGACUCUUUUUUUUGGACUCAGCCCAUCUGCACUCAGGUGAAAUAAACAGCCUUGUUACUCACACAAAGCCUGUUUGGUGGUCUCUUCACAUGGAUGUGCGUGACAUUUGGUGCCGUGACUAGGAUUGGGGGCCCUCCCUUGGGAGAUCAAUCCCCUGUCCUCCUGCUCUUUGCUCCAUGAGAAAGAUCCACCUACGACUUUGGGUCCUUAGACCAACCAGCCCAAGGAACAUCUCACCAAUUUUAAAUCGGGUAAGCAGCCUCUUUU